rnacentral:tRNA from 1 species
GAAUAUGAAGCAAUAUGCGAUUAGUUUCGACCUAAUUAUAUGGUAUUAAUUUACCCUUAUUCU